rnacentral:rRNA from 1 species
ACCUCCAGCUAAGGUCCCCAAGUCAUGGCUAAGUGGGAAAGGAUGUGAGGAUCCCAAAACAACCAGGAUGUUGGCUUAGAAGCAGCCAUCAUUUAAAGAAAGCGUAACAGCUCACUGGUCUAAAUAAGGGUCUUUGCGCCGAAAAUGUAACGGGGCUGAAGCCAUGCACCGAAGCUGAGGAUACGUCGUAAGACGUGUGGUAGCGGAGCGUUCCGUAAGCCAGUGAAGGGAUACCCGUGAGGGGUCCUGGAGGUAUCGGAAGUGCGAAUGUUGACAUGAGUAACGAUAAAGAGGGUGAGAGACCCUCUCGCCGAAAGACCAAGGGUUCCUGCUUAAAGUUAAUCUGAGCAGGGUUAGCCGGCCCCUAAGACGAGGCGGACACGCGUAGUCGAUGGGAACCACGUUAAUAUUCGUGGGCCUGGUGGUAGUGACGGAUUGCUCAACUUGUCCGGACUUAUUGGAUUGUCCGGGCGGGGACGCGGUUCCAGGAAAUAGCUCCACCGUAUAGACCGUACCCGAAACCGACACAGGUGGUCAGGUAGAGUAUACCAAGGCGCUUGAGAGAACUAUGUUGAAGGAACUCGGCAAAUUGCACGCGUAACUUCGGAAGAAGCGUGACCCUUUUCUACGCAAGUAGGAUGGGGUGGCACAGACCAGGGGGUAGCGACUGUUUAUCAAAAACACAGGGCUCUGCGAAGUCGCAAGACGACGUAUAGGGUCUGACGCCUGCCCGGUGCUGGAAGGUUAAGAGGAGGGGUGCAAGCUCUGAAUCGAAGCCCCAGUAAACGGCGGCCGUAACUAUAACGGUCCUAAGGUAGCGAAAUUCCUUGUCGGGUAAGUUCCGACCUGCACGAAUGGCGUAACGACUUCCCCGCUGUCUCCAACAUAGACUCAGUGAAAUUGAAUUCCCCGUGAAGAUGCGGGGUUCCUGCGGUCAGACGGAAAGACCCCGUGCACCUUUACUAUAGCUUUACACUGGCAUUCGUGUCGGCAUGUGUAGGAUAGGUGGUAGGCUUUGAAGCGGGGACGCCAGUUCUCGUGGAGCCAUCCUUGAAAUACCACCCUUAUCGUCAUGGAUGUCUAACCGCGGUCCGUCAUCCGGAUCCGGGACAGUGUAUGGUGGGUAGUUUGACUGGGGCGGUCGCCUCCGAAAGAGUAACGGAGGCGCGCGAUGGUGGGCUCAGAGCGGUCGGAAAUCGCUCGUCGAGUGCAAUGGCAUAAGCCCGCCUGACUGCGAGACUGACAAGUCGAGCAGAGACGAAAGUCGGUCAUAGUGAUCCGGUGGUCCCGCGUGGAAGGGCCAUCGCUCAACGGAUAAAAGGUACGCCGGGGAUAACAGGCUGAUGACCCCCAAGAGUCCAUAUCGACGGGGUUGUUUGGCACCUCGAUGUCGGCUCAUCGCAUCCUGGGGCUGGAGCAGGUCCCAAGGGUUUGGCUGUUCGCCAAUUAAAGCGGUACGUGAGCUGGGUUCAGAACGUCGUGAGACAGUUCGGUCCCUAUCUGCCGUGGGUGUAGGAAUAUUGACAGGAUCUGUCCCUAGUACGAGAGGACCGGGAUGGACAUAUCUCUGGUGGACCUGUUGUCCUGCCAAGGGCAUAGCAGGGUAGCUAUAUAUGGAAGGGAUAACCGCUGAAGGCAUCUAAGCGGGAAACCCACCUGAAAACGAGUAUUCCCUUGAGAACCGUGGAAGACGACCACGUUGAUAGGCCGGGUGUGGAAGUGCGGCAACGCAUGAAGCUUACCGGUACUAAUCGUUCGAUUGGCUUGAUC